rnacentral:rRNA from 1 species
UUUUCAGCCGCCGCGGUAAUACAGAGGGGGCAAGCGUUAUUCGGAAUUAUUGGGCGUAAAGGGCGCGUAGGCGGCUUUUCAAGUGGCGGGUGAAAUCCCUCGGCUUAACCGAGGAACUGCCUGCCAGACUGGAUUGCUUGAGUCCGGGAGAGGUGAGUGGAAUUCCCAGUGUAGCGGUGAAAUGCGUAGAUAUUGGGAGGAACACCAGUGGCGAAGGCGGCUCACUGGACCGGAACUGACGCUGAGGCGCGAAAGCGUGGGGAGCAAACAGGAUUAGAAACCCUGGUAGUCC